GACAGAGGCCGCGAACGUUGUUCGGAAUCACUGGGCGUAAAGCGCACGUAGGCGGCUAGGUACGUCCAAUGUGAAAGCCCCCGGCUCAACCGGGGAAUUGCAUCGGAUACAGCCUGGCUCGAGGACGGUUGGGGGGAGUGGAACUCCUGGUGGAGCGGUGAAAUGCGUAGAUAUCAGGAGGAACACCGGUGGCGAAAGCGGCUCACUGGACCGUUACUGACGCUGAGGUGCGAAAGCUAGGGGAGCAAACGGG
rnacentral:rRNA from 1 species